rnacentral:rRNA from 1 species
UACGUAGGGCGCAAGCGUUGUCCGGAUUCACUGGGUGUAAAGGGUGCGCAGGCGGAUCGGCAAGUCAGAGGUGAAAUCUCACAGCUUAACUGUGAAACUGCCUUUGAUACUGCUGAUCUUGAGUUCGGGAGAGGUUGAUGGAAUUCUAGGUGUAGCGGUGAAAUGCGUAGAUAUCUAGAAGAACACCAGUGGCGAAGGCGGUCAACUGGCCCGCAACUGACGCUCAUGCACGAAAGCGUGGGGAUCAAACAGG